rnacentral:tRNA from 1 species
GGCCCCAUCGUCUAGUGGACUAGGACAUCACUCUUUCAAGGUGAAAACACGGGUUCAAUUCCCGUUGGGGCUA